rnacentral:ncRNA from 1 species
GCAGAGUAGGUGCUGUGCGUUAAGUGCCAGGGGAUGGGAAGUUGCCCCUGGACGAAGGCCUCUUGGCCGCGAUGCAGUACCGCUUCCGCUGC